CCAUUAGUCUGGAAUAGUUAUCCGGCGCCGGUGGUCCUCUUUAUUUUUUCCGUCAGAGGGGGGGGCAUUAUGGUGUGCGUAACUGACACUCGGCUCGCGCGGUAUGAAAAUGAACAAUAAGAACUCGGCCGUCAGGGAGCUCCUGGAGGUCACGCUGGACAAGCAGCGGACGUGUUUUGGCCGACCGGCGGCUCAAAGGAUUAAAACGUCCUGCUCGGAUGACGUGCCUCGAACUUCCAUCUUCCGCUCGGUGCGUAGCUGAUAACAGCGGUACGCAAAUACGUACGCUCGUCUAGUACCUGGGGUGGGGGCAACCUGUUUCAACAACCUUACAGUCUCACCCAGAAAAAGCUCAGCCAGCGCAUGCCGCAGCUGUGUCCGGAUCGCCCUUCCUCUCCGCUUAAAAAUGCACUCUUGGAACUCGGGCUGCACGAUUGUGCCAAGCACCAUAUAAGGAAGAGGAAACUCUGGGCUGUUUUUAUCUCUGGAUCUUAUGAAAAAAACACCCCCUGUGGCAACAUUCCCAGGAGAAACCCCUGGAAAGGUUUGAAUCGGGUCAAAUAAAAAAAAAAAGGUCAAGAAUAGGAACAAGUCGUCCGGACAAGGCAUCCUGAACAAAAACUCCCAGAGCCUAUUGUCAGCGCUGGAAGCAGUCGGUGAACCCGAGUGAGGACGUACGUUCAAAGUAAAGCCUGGACCUGACUGCUACCACGGCCUUGCCUCCACAGGCUUCAGAACCUCACGUGUACAGUGCAAUGGAGAAGGUGCAGCACAUAACCCGUGCGGCCAUCAGGAGGGCGUCCACCAUGGAGGUUCCUCAGCAGGCUAAGCAGAACAUGCAGAACCUCUUCGUCAACUUCUGCCUCAUCCUCAUCUGCCUGCUGCUCAUCUACAUCAUCGUCUUGCUAAUGUGAGCUGGAGGACGGGGCCGAAGCGUGGUCUUGCAGCCAAAUCGGGGCCAUGGACUCGCUCUUUCCACGUGUGAAGGACGGACGGCAUGGUGUAACUCCGUCCUCCUCGCGACUCCGCACGCUGAGCACAUCCUUCCCUGAGCCGCACGGCGCCUCGCUGCGAACUCUGCGACAGUCCAGCGCCGCCUUCACCAUGGAUCUCACAAACAACCGGGGUCUCAACCUCCUGCUCAACUUCCUGCUCAUUGUUGUCGUCCUGCUGCUCAUGCUCAUUCUGGUCAAGCUCAUGUGAUCCCAGCUGAGCGAUCACCAAGCCCUCGAGACUUAUAACAUGGCCUGAACUUUUCAACCCGUUAAGAGACGUAUAUACACAUCUCUCUUUUUCACAAUAUAUCUGUUUGAGUGUCUGUUUCCACUUGAUCACGUUAUAAAACCUUUUUUUACGCACUGCUUUGAGACCAAGUGCUCGUUAAAGUGACGUAGAAGCUCUUUCAAGUCUAAAACCAGAAGGUAAAAAUCAAACCUGACCUUUUUCAAUGUUCGCUCACACUGCCUAUGAUCUUCCAUGCUGAAUGCAGUGCUAAACAUGUUCCCGCCUCGAAAUAGCCUCAGAUCUUUAGCUACAUCACUGCAACAGUCAUGGAGGAGAUUAAAGUAUAACAGCCAGUCAGCAGAGAUAUGACAAGACGCCCACUUUUCAUAAAGCCAGUCCAAAUCUAAAGGAUGAUAUUCACACAUAAAAAUAUCCCAUCUUGACAUAUUCAUGUAGGAAUAUAUACUUAUUUUUAUUUUAUUUUUUAAAAGAGUACCUUAUCAUAAAUUUCAAUAUAACCAGAGAAUCCCUUCAUUUUCAUCCUUUAAAAAAAAAAAAAAAAAAGGAAAAAUAUCCAAUAAUAAAAAAAAUAUUUAAGUGAAAAAAUAAAUAAAAUAAUAGAAUUUAAAAGUAAAAUCAAUCAAAAAUAAGAGCAGCAAAGUAAAAUUGUGCCGCAUCAUGACUGUUAUACUGUAGCUACAAUAAAUUAAUUUUUUACAAUAACAAAAACGUCUCCAAUAAAAGUUUCACAUAAAUCGGAAGCAUCCACAUGGUUUGAAUUCCAUUGUAAAAUAAUAAAAAAAUAUUUACAAUAUCUGUGAUAUCUUGGUGAAAAAUUAAAAAUAAAAGGGUUUAAAAUUACAGUAAUCCCCUGUUUAUCUCGGUGGUUAGGUUUCAAAACUGCCCGCGGUAAAACAAAAAAAACACGAUAAACAGAUGCCGGGUCAAAAAUGCUAUUUUAUGUAUACGGUACUGUACUGUAUUAACAUUUUACUUCAUUUUAUAAUUGAUAAUUAUAUUUGUAAUAGUAAAUGUCAUUAUUUCAACAUAAAACUCCAUAAAAACAGUUCCCUAUAAGUGUUUUGGUCUGUGGUGCUCUACGCGAGAGACCGAGAAAAUCAGCCAUGAGGGCAAAUGCAAUUCCGCGAUAAACCAACCGGGGGCGCAAAGUUCAAACCGCAGUAACGCGGGGGAUUACUGUAUUAUAUCCAAUCUGUGAUAAAUUAGGUAUAUUAACCAGCCCUAUGAGUCACUACAGGUGUUUUGAGUGGUUGAUGUAUUAUAUAAGUAAAUAUCUUGAUAAUUAUAUGUAUAUAAAUACGACACACGUCUGUCCACUGUGUUGCAACGUGUGUUAGAGCUGAAAUGAUGAAACUGUGCUGCAUUCCAGCUUUAAAUACUCAAAACAGGGGACUUCUGAUCCAAGAAAUGUAAUGAAGAGGCCAUGAAGGUCCUCGGAUCAUAAAGAACGAAAGCUGAUUGGGUAAAAAAUUGGAGUAGAAAUGACGAUCUUCUGGUGACGUUACACUGUUUGGUUUGUAUAUACAGUAGUUCUCCAUAAAAAUGUAAACGAUGACGUUUGUAUAUUCACCACGAGUGUGCUGAGAGUUAAACGAUGCCACGAUAUACAAGGAAAUCAGAAUAAAGCUGUGAUGACGCA